AGCAAAGCAAGUGAGCAAAAAGAAGGGAACCAUAUCGGCACACAGUUUAUGGUGUCCUGUUGAAAAAAAAUACUGUCCACAUCUUCUGUUUAUGGUUGUAUCGCCGUUUCACCCUUUUGAAUGUCAGUAAACCUGUUGACAACACUCAUCGGUCUUCAGAGUGGUGAUAUAAGAAAGGUUCUAACGCCCCUGCAUAAGACAUGCACCCAUAACGGCACAGCCUCUGUUCAGUUUCCUGUAAAUCACGUGGGAAUAAUGUGAGUUAACACCACGGACUGGAGGCCCUCCCCCAGUCCUCCCUUUGCUCUCUGCAGCCUGCUGUACAUGAGCACCGGCAGAAGAACCCAGCACAUGAAGAAGAUUUGACUCUCUGCAAGGAUUGAAGUCUUUGAGCUCAGGGUUGAGACUCCUAGCUUGAACCAUGGGGAACCUCCCUACGAUACAUAAUGAAACCCCCUACACAUUUCACUACUGUAUUAUUGGGAGAGAGGGUGUGCAUACAGUGCAUGGCAACAGCACAGGAGAGUCCCUGCAAGCACCAUUUUGGAUUGCAUUACCAUUUCGGGGUGCAUUACUACCAUUUUGGGGGCUCUCCUUUAGAUAUGGAGAUCACUCAGAAAGUGACCUCACUGGUGCAGGUGAUGGCGCUUCGUACACCAUAAGAGAGAGUAAAGAUCACAAGGAAUUUGAACUGGUCUCCAAGAUGUGGCAUAGAGUUGUUGUUGUUGACCGUUGUCCCAACUUUGGCAGAAUUGAUGAAGAGAAACGGCAACAAGAGGAGCGACGCAGGAAAGAAGAAGACGAGAAAAGGCGUCAGGCAGAGCUUGAGCAACAGAGGAAGAUCCAAGAGCAGAUGGAAAAGGAGAACGAAACAUUGAGAAAAAAGCACAAUGAAGCACACAACAGGCUUCAGGAGGAGGAAGACCUCAAAACCUGGAAGCACCGUCAGCAGCACUCUCAAGUUCUACACCAGCUCUUGGAAGAUAAAGCACAUCACAUAGAGAGAGAUGAGGUCACUGAUGUGAAUGAGAAGUUUGAAAAACUUCUAUCAAAGUAUGACAUCAGAGAGGAUGAACAUUUACAGAUCCAGCUGGAAGACAGGAUGAAGACUCUCCAAAAUAAGCUGACAUUACAAUAUUUUCAUGAGCACCCCCACUUCAUCCCCACUUCGUUACUGUGGGCUUUGGAUCAGACUACUGGAUAUGUGCUGCUGUCUCUGACUGAGAGGUUCAACAUCCUGGAGGCAGUGCUGAAGGUGACCUUAGAGGGUGACCCUGAUGUUGAAGAUCUCCAAAAUGGACAAGACAAGAAGACAGAGUUCCUCCUCAGUUUGCAGGAACAGCUACAUGCUGAAAAUCCAACACUGGCCCAACAGGUGUUAGCAAAUGUUCUGGAUCUGUCCUCAAAACUACCCCGAUCAGGUAAGGAGAUCAUCAGUCAAAUAGUGUUCAAUAAUAUCUGGGCACCAAAAGACAUCAAGCUUUUCCUUGGCAAGACCUUAAGCAUGGAUCAGAAAACAGUCACAAAAAUCCUCCACAAAGCGUGCACGUACGGGCUGAGCUGUGGCGACGCUCUCUCUGCCCUGAAUGAAGACGAUCCUGCAGAGUACAUCCAACAUUGUGUGGACAAAGCUGAGCGAGACAAAGAUGCUUACACACUUUUGGCUGAAAUGGAAAACAAAAACUUUCCAGAGUAUGUCCUGUCACUCCUGCGAGAAGUCCUGACAUAUAUUGAAGAAGAGCUACCCAAAUAUGGACGUGUGCCCAUUAACAGGGAGAUGAUUGAAGACUGUAAAAAGAUAAUAACUGCUCUUGAUUUUAACAGUCCUAAGAUUGAUGAUCUGAAGAAAGUCCUGAUCAUCGUAUCCAGAGCUGUAAAGGAAUGCACCACCUUUACCACUCAGAGCGGUGAACAUGUUCAGGGCUACUUCCCAAGACUCAGUCAGCUGGCAUCACUGCUGCUGCUCCUGCUGCCACAUUCUGGGGAUAAGAAAGGUUGUCUGUUGGAAAUCAGCACUGGAGAGGGCAAAACUUGUAUUUUAGCCAUGUUUGCUACAAUACAGGCCACCCGAGGCAUAAAGGUGGACAUUGUGACAAGCUCUCCUUUGUUAGCAAGUCGUGAUCAGGAUAAGUGGAGAAAAUUAUAUGAUGUGUUUGGUAUUACAUCAUCCACGGUCCCUCCAACACACAUCAAUAGCUGCUCUUUUAAAGAUCAUGACAAGCUGCUUGAGGAUGCAUACAGCCAGCAGGUCGUUUAUGGUACAGUUGGUACGUUUGCAGCAGAUACACUGAGGCAAGAGUUUGAGAAGAAGACUACCCGAGGUCCGAGGAAGUUUGAGUGUGUGGUAGCAGAUGAGGUGGACUACAUGACGUUGGACAGUGGUGUCCAGGUCACGUUCCUGUCACACCAAGCCAGUAGCCUAAGGCACAUGGAGCAAGUCCUGGCAAGCAUCUGGGCCAUGAUGUCGUCCUGCAAGCCAAUAGAAAUGUUUGAAACGGGGGAGAUCAGGUGGGGAACCAGGAUCCAGCACUUCCACAAGGCUGUAAUGCAAGCAGUGGUUGGCUCAGAAUCAGAAGAUGUUUCAGCUGCUGACAUACUUGUUCUUGGUGCCCAGCUGGGGUUUUAUUCACAGGAGGAUGUGGAUGAAGUAAAUAACGCAGAUGGUCAGACACAAACAGAGACUGACAGCUUUAAGGAUGCCAGGUGGAAAGCUACUGAGAAAAUCAUGGCCAACAUUGGACCAAAAGAACAGUGUGAGCUACUGAGACAAGUUCAGACAAAAAUAGAAAACGGUGUAUCUGUAAAUUGUUACUCACUAAUGAACAACAAAGCCAAACUUUACAGCAAGGACAGCUCUCAUGGAGACCUUGAUGUCAGCCUGCUUCUCCUGGAGAAUGGCUGUACCUGUGAAAUCAUGUCCGAGGAAUCCAUCAUCCAAGGAGCUGUGGACAAAUUAAAAUCAACAAUUAAAUAUUCUGAUGAGUGUUCAGUGAAGUCAUUGGAUGAGUGUAAGGGAUUUAUUGUGAUCCCUCUUUUUGAAAACAUACAUUGAGAAUCAGUUACCAGUUUUGCCGAGAACGCCUUAAAAGCCAUCAGAAUGACUCAGGGAAGAGAGUACAUGAUUGAGAAAGCACCUGAAGCUGACGCAGGUGGUUUCAGUGAUGCUGACAGUCAUCAGUAUGAUGCCAUAAUUCCUGUGGACUUUGAGGCCAGUGGGGUGUUGGAGAAAAACAAGCGAUGGGGUGGCGGCCUACAACAGUUUCUGGAGAUGAAGCACCAGCUGGCCAUUUCACAGCUGUCCAAUGUAACAAAUUACAUGUCAAAUGUCCAUUUCUUUAAAAGGUACCUCAAUGGAAAAGGCAUUUUUGGUGUUUCUGGGACAUUAGGGGGGCAAGCUGAGAAAGUAUUUCUAGAACGGCAUUACAAAACAGCAAGCUAUGUCAUUCCAGCUCACCGCCAUAAAAAGCUUGUUGAGUUGCCAGCAGUUCAGGUGAGUGGAGGCAACACGCAGUGGAUCCAGGUGAUCUGUGAAACUGCACAGAGAGCUGCAGACAGAGGCCAAGUUGUUCUUAUCAUUUGUGAAGAUGUUAAAACUGCAGAUGAGCUGAAGACAAACAUGCAUGUUCCAGAAAGGCAAGCCAAUGAGAUCACCAUGUACACAAUCAGCGAGAAGCACAACAUCGAGAAACAGAACUUUAGCCGGGGAAACAUUAUCAUUGCUACAAACCUCGGUGGCCGUGGGACAGACAUACACGUUCAGCAGGACGUAAACGAGUGUGGAGGUCUGUUUGUGCUCCUCACAUACUUUCCUAGAAGUCACCGUGUGGAGCGACAGGUCUUUGGACGCACCGCCCGAAAAGGAAACCCAGGGAUGGUUCAGAUGGUUCUCAACCAGGGCCAUCUUGCAUCAGCCUACCAAGGCCAUUCAAUCGAAACCAUGAGACAGCUCAGAGAGGAGUAUGAGCUCAGUUUUUUGGACAGCAUGGAGAAAAAUGAACUCUGUGAAAUUGACAUGAAGGAAACUCUGUUCUCCAGUUUUUGUCAGUUUCUCUGUAACUUUGACAAGAAUUACACGGUGGAAGAAAGGAGUGACCUGUCCAAGAUGAAGCUGAAGGAUGUUCCUGAAUAUUUUAAGAUCCAUCAAAACAAGUUCGACUAUCAGACUGCACUGAAUGCUUUGAAAGAAUCGUGGGCUUUGUGGCUCAUUCUUCAUGAAGAGCACAUCAGCAGACAUCACGAUAUCAGCAAGCUGAGAGAAGACCUCACCAAAGACUUGAAGAAGACUGGUGACUUCCUCCUGCAGGGGACGAGCUAUAAUUUCUAUGAUUACAUCAAACAGGCAGCAAGCAGAACUGACCUGCACUGCAUGAACAAAACUAAAUGUGACUUUGGAGCAAAGACUUACUGGCAGAGAGCUGCAGAGUGUGAUCAUUUCUACAGUGCUGUGGCACUUUAUAAUCAAGCUUACAUCACACUCAACCUCAGAAAAGGAGACUACAUAGCUGAGGCAAAGGAAUUAUUGGAGGAAGCACAGUCUGCAGUGGAUGUCUAUCUCUCAGAAUCAACAAAUACGAUGAUGUUUUGUAAUUUUUCAGUGACGAGUGGCUUUGUUCCACACCACACAAACAGCAACCUCCAGAUCCAAAUGCAAGCCAGGAUGACUAUCUUCAAAUCUUGGAAAAGAUACAUUGAAAGUGCCCUGACAACUCUGACACAGCUCAAUGGCAGCAAAGGUGAUGCAGAAGUAGAGGAUUCCAGUGUGUACUAUCUUUCCAAAGAUAAAGAUUUAAUCACCACCAAUGAGCUGAUGAUGCUCUAUGAGAAUGGCCUUAGCACAGUCUUUGAGAUUAAAAAGAAGCCCGAGUUCUGCUAUGAUGCCCUUGCUUGUUUUGUUCUCGGUGCCCUUCAAGUUGCAGCAGGUGUUCUUGUUUGUGCUCUGUCAUGUGGUGGUGCCAGUCAGUUUGGACUUGGACUGAUCUGUGAGGGAGUAUCUGACAUGAUUCAAGGGAUCAAAGGAAUGAUAAAAGGAGGCUUUGACUGGGCUGAAUGGGCAAUCUCCAAGGCCAUCAGCAUUGGGUUGUCUCUGAUCUCUGGUGGAUUUAGCCGACUAAAGAAAGCUGCAAGUGCAGUGCGUAGUGGCACAAAAGGUCUGAUCACAGGAGCAAAGACUAGUUCCUACACAGUAAAACAGUGUUUUCUGAAGGCAGGAAAGCAUGCAGUUCAGGAACUGGGGAAGCAAGGAUGCCUCAGUGCUCUGAGUUAUACUGCUGAGAAGGCAAUUAAUGCUUUUUUCCAAAAAGUUCUGAGGAGAGUCUUUGAGGAAAAGGUUCUUUCACUCAUAAAAGCCAACCAUGACCUGGAUGAAGUUCUCACAAGCUUCAUUUGCUCAGGAAUACCAAAGAAUAUCCUGGAGAAUGGGUCCAGUGAAUUCAGAAUUCACAAAGAGUGUGAGAAAGAAAUGCUUCAGUCAGUGGAUCUGAUAACAAGAGAAGUGAUUCCUGACCUGAUGAUGAAUUGUACCGUGGUUCUUAAGGCUCUUGAUGGACUUUCAGUGGUCUGUGGUGCUGUAACACAACACAUAAAGAGCAAAAAAGGGUCCGAUCCAAUAGAAAAUAUUGUAAUGGGUUUGGAAGCAGCUAAAUAUGCCACAACCUUUGUACAAAUAUGGAAUUCGAUACCAACAGAGAAAGUCAUUAACAACACCUUUGUUCCUAAGCUCUUGCAAAGCAUGGAAAAACUACCUCAAGAAAGGAAUGACCAGGAUGAAAGACACAGUUUAUCAGAUGUGAAACACUUUAAAGAUGAACUCAUCAACAUGAUUGCAGAAAGUGUUUCAAACUCUUAUGUUGAGGCCUGUUCCAGGCAUAUGACCUCCAUCAUGAGCAAAAUUUGCAUAAGUAAAAUAAACCAUGCUAUUAGUGGUGCUGUUAGCAACAUACUUGGCAGGGCUGACACCCAAAGUUUCUUUAACAACCCGGAGCAUAAGUACAACAUGAAAAAGGUCAUCCAGUGUCCACGUGAGUCCCUGUCAGAGUCUGACAAGAAAGACUUGGAGUGCUACAUAGAGGACAUUUCUGAUGUUAACCGCCCUGCUACAGCUUUGGACAUCCAUGUCCUCACCCAGAGUGAUGCUCUGGAAGGCAAAGGAAUCAAACUGGUUAUGGUGGACAAAGAUGGAAAGAAGCUUUCAGAAGACUAUUUUCCUGGGAAGGAGGACUCAGCAGGCGAUAUAGUCCUCCAACUGAAGAAGGAGCCAGAAAAUCCAACAGAGAGGAGGGGGUUCUUCUCAAAGAUAACUAAAUGGAUUCGUGGUGAACAGAGCCCGUGCAGUGGUCAUUUUGAAAUCCUGAGACCAGAUGGAACCGUGAUCCCAGUAAAUUCAGAAGAUCAGAACUGCCUCUUCCACGCUGUUGCUCAGGCCACCUGUAAAAAUCCAGGUGAUGUAGGAAAAGAGGCACGGGUGCUUCGGGAGCAGGUCAGAAACAAUCUUCAGCAAAACCUACCCAAAUACGUAGGAGCUCUGAAACUGCAGAAAGGCUAUGAAACCUGUAACUCUCCUGGAAGAUAUUACAUAUGUGGAGGAGAUCGAAAGGCACGAAGAAAAGCCGUAGACGAUUUCAACGCCAUCUUGGGCGACACGAGCAAGAAAGGUUUGAGUCCAGAGGAAUUACGAGAUAUCCAAGAAUGACGUCUGGGUUUGGUUGGAACGCACACUGAUGUGUACAAAAUCCGUGUGGAAACCUCAAACCAAAGAGAAUGUGGUGAAAACAGGCUGGCGGUGGAAGCAGACCAUGUGCCACCUAAAUGUGUCUUUCAGAAUGCCCUUAAAACGUUGCAGGACCCUGAGAACGUAAAGUUAAGAGAGAACCUGAAAAACAAAAGUCCCCACCUUCAUGCACUGUUGGAUAAAAAUGGAGACCGCGGUCUGUGCAGAGAGGUUCUGAAAUCGCACCAUGAGGCAGGCCUGACCUGGUGCAACAGAAAAGAGUCUCGUAUAAUCAGCGAGAAGCUUGAGGAGAUUCUUAUUUCUGGAGACGGGGAAAAACUGGUGAAGAUGUCACUGCUGGCAGCCAAUCCGGUUACAUCCAAUUCUCUUAGAGAGGAUGCAGGAAUCCUCAUGCUGAACAGCUCAAAUAUGUCCAGAGACGCAACGAAGCGCUACCACGAUGUUGGAGACAAGCUGCUGGUGGAAGGUUACUACAAGAAAGGAGUCCUGAACGAGGAGGAGAGGCACAGCAUCAUGGACUGGCUGAAGGGUGGAAACCUGUACUCAAAGAACACGUCAGAGUACAAAGAGAUGUGCAGUGAGCUGAGAGCCAAGAUACAGAAACACAACAACAACAGUGGAAAAUAACAACAGUGUGUGUGUGUUUAACUGAACGUAUCAGACAUCCAAACUGAGAAAGCUCAGUUUUAUUUGAUGUUUUUAUCAUUUAUAUAUUUCGUUAUCCUCUCUGACCGUUUCAUCAUCAUCCUCUUUUCCUCUUUUCCCAGAAAACAAAGAAGGAAAAGAGUUUCUCUGAAAGAUUUUAAUCCGAGGAUAAAAAGCAGCUCAAAGACAGUGAUUUGUAAUCACAGGAGCUGUUGUGUGUUCUCUGUGUAACACCUGUCACAGGUACCUGUGAGUGGGCCCUGGGCCUCUGCUUAUAGCACAACAUAUGAAUCAUGAUAUGACUUGUGUAAUUAAACCACAACACAAGAGGUUCAUUUAAACGCAGCAGGCUCACCUCAUUGAUUCCAGAUCAGAAAACAAAGUGUGUGUGUGUGUGUGUGUGUGUGUGUGUGUGUGUGUGUGUGUGUGUGUGUGUGUGUGAGAGGUUACACUGGUGUUUGGGGUCAGAGGUCACACUGGUGAUCACCUUGCUAAGUUAACCUGGUUUUUUGCUCCCACCAUAAAAAAAUGAAGGAAUAAAGUUGUGUGUAAAA
ensembl:lncRNA